UACAGAGGUCUCAAGCGUUGUUCGGAUUCAUUGGGCGUAAAGGGUGUGUAGGUGGCGCCGUAAGUCGGGUGUGAAAUUUCGGAGCUUAACUCCGAAACUGCAUUCGAUACUGCGGUGCUUGAGGACUGGGAGAGGAGACUGGAAAUUCAUGGUGUAGCAGUGAAAUGCGUAGAGAUCAUGAGGAAGACCAGUGGCGAAGGCGGGUCUCUGGACAGUUCCUGACACUGAGACACGAAGGCCAGGGGAGCAAACGGG
rnacentral:rRNA from 1 species